GAUUGGCAACUAUUAUUACAUUUUAGACAAUAACUUUUCUAAUUAAAUGAAAUCCGUCUAGUUUUUCACUUAUAUUAAAUAACAUUUAUGUACAAUAAAGCACACAUAAUUGAUUAGGCAUUUUGCUAUAGUCAGUCAGAAAUCUACCCUGUUUUCCCCAAAAUAAGAUAUCCCCUGAUAAUAAGCGCAAUUGGGCUUUUGAGCGCAUGGCAAUAAGGCCAAGCGCUUAUUUCGGGGUUCAAAAAAAUAUAAAACAGGGUCUUAUUUUUGGGGAAACAUGGUAUGCUGGCAACUCUUUAGGGGCAAUGCAUACCUUAGAUAUGAACUAAAGGGAAAAAGGAGGUAAGAAAAGGAUACUUGCACACAUAACCAGCCAGGCAGCCAGCCCAAUUUUGCUUAGGCUUGUAAAGUUCUGUUUUAAGUGAUUUUAUACAGCUUCCAAAUGUACCUGUAGAGCUUUUCCAGCCUAAAAGGGUCUUUGGAGAUCUUUCCUGUCCCUAGACAUAAUAUAGGAAGCAACCCUCCCCUUCCUUAAUUGCCACAACUGGAGGCAAAAAUUAAAAAAAUGGUCCAAGUGCAAAGAUAUGAAAUCAACUGCAGAGCUGAUGGAGAGGCCUGUGAAAUGUAAUAGAAUCCAGAUAUUUCUUACACAAAGAUUAGAAAAUAACUACCUCCCAAACCUUGAAAGAAAGGAGUGGGAAAUGUUUUUUCCAUAGUUCCGAUUAGUGCAAGUACUGACAUGAAAGCCCUUUCAACAUCUAGCCAGCCUCUUCCACUUUGUGGAAAUACCAAAUCAGCCUCCUUCCAAUUUGUGCAUAAACAUGCCCAAACAAUGUAACAGUUUAAUUUGCAAACUGCAAAGGCUACAUCUGUUUCCCAGCAACAAAUUACUUAAGUGUGAUGCUCAGCUCUGUCCUUAUAAAGAUACAUCUGCGUUAAAUCCAUUUAGUCUAAAUUACUAAGAAAUAUGCUCUGUGCUCUUCCAUCAAAGGCAACUGUAUUUCUUUUCCUGCUGUUAGGAAAUGAGAAUCUGCUAACUGAACAUAAAUUAAAACAACUCUGAGACAACUUUAGCUCAGUUUAUGCUAGACAAAUUCUCCUUUUGAGAGAGGCAAAUAGCUGCUGAUCUGGCUUACUAUCAAUUCUCCUCCUACGCAGUUUAUGAUGGAACCAUAGAAAACCAUGGUUGAGAUCAAGCUGCGAGCACUUCACUCUAAUGUACACAAUGGCAGCCAAAUAUCCAUCUAAUACAAUCACUCAAAUACCUGUAAUAGCAUUCCUAAAAUUCUUUGACACCUUUGUCAAAGUGUUCACCUUAUCUGAAUGUCUACCUUAUCUAAUGGACAAAAUAUUUAACAUCCCUUUUAAAGAAUGUCUAUGGAGAUUCUCAGUCAUCCAGGUCAUGGUUGUCCCAAAAGUGCUUUUUCAAGAGGCAACUGGACUUUAUUUUCCCUUGAAGAAAAAGCUUCUUGGACGAAAAACAAAACGUCUCCAAGGAAAAACAAAGUCCACUUGCCUCUUGAAAAAGCACUUUUGGGACUUUUCAAUGCCUUUCUUCAGAUCCACACAGAUACAUCCUCUUGAGUAUCCCUCAUAUCAGACCUGACAAUCUUUCUUAUGAGCAGCACAUCCCUAGAUUGACCUCAAUCUAAACUAAUGUCAUUUCAACAUAGAGUUCAGCCAGUGUCAUGCUAAAGACAUUGUGAAAUUCUACCUACUGCAACUACAAUUAGAAGAUGGACAUAGUUCUGACUUCACUACCAAGAGUCCUUGAUUCAGACCUAUAAUGGAACCUACCCACUUUGAUAGGAAGUUGUGAAAGCUGUUAACUGAAUGGCACACAUGAUCACCUCACAACGAUCCUGGUCUCCUGGAUGCAAUUGUUAAAUGAACAUUGUGUUUCCCUGGACAUAACAGCGAGGAACACGACGGAGCUGGAAAGAAUGUAAGCCUUUCACCAUCUUUUGAACGUCUGGGAGGAACAAAGAAGCAGCACAAAAAAUAAGACAUCUUAUCCAACAAUGGGGGAAAAAAUUAAAGAAAAGCAUCCAUACUUGGAACUGUCCUGUUUGAAAGAUAUAGAGGUAUUUUUCAAUUAUUAAUGAUCCAUACCUUAAUACAA